AUACGUAGGGUGCGAGCGUUGUCCGGAAUUAUUGGGCGUAAAGAGCUCGUAGGUGGUUUGUCGCGUCGUCUGUGAAUUCCGGGGCUUAACUCCGGGCGUGCAGGCGAUACGGGCAUAACUUGAGUACUGUAGGGGAGACUGGAAUUCCUGGUGUAGCGGUGAAAUGGGCAGAUAUCAGGAGGAACACCGGUGGCGAAGGCGGGUCUCUGGGCGGUAACGGAGGCUGAGGAGCGAAAGCAUGGGUGGCGAACAGAAUUAGAUACCCUGGUAGUCCACGCCGUAAACGGUGGGCGCUAGGUGUAGGGGUCUUCCACGACUUCUGUGCCGUAGCUAACGCAUUAAGCGCCCCGCCUGGGGAGUACGGCCGCAAGGCUAAAACUCAAAGGAAUUGACGGGG
rnacentral:rRNA from 1 species